rnacentral:rRNA from 1 species
GCGCCCUACGGGGGGCAGCAGUGAGGAAUAUUGGUCAAUGGGCGCGAGCCUGAACCAGCCAUGUCGCGUGAGGGAGGACGGCCCUACGGGUUGUAAACCUCUUUUGCCGGGGAGCAACGGGCGUCACGUGUGGCGCCACUGAGAGUACCCGGAGAAAAAGCAUCGGCUAACUCCGUGCCAGCAGCCGCGGUAAUACGGAGGAUGCGAGCGUUAUCCGGAUUUAUUGGGUUUAAAGGGUGCGCAGGCGGUCUGUUAAGUCAGCGGUCAAAGCCCGGGGCUCAACCCCGGCCCGCCGUUGAAACUGG